rnacentral:lncRNA from 1 species
CCAAAAUGGCACGCGACGUUUUGUCUCUCCAUGCCCCUGAGUUGAAGAUUCUAAAGAAAAGAGAACGCUCACUUUUUUUGGAAACGUGUACGUGACUGGCUGACUGCAAUAAAAAUUGGGCGACAAAACAAAUUUCUAACUUGUGGUCGUCUUGUGAAUUCCAUGCUAUUUGACAGAUUUGAGACCUGAGCCACCCAUCGAAACUACAAGUUGUGCAAGUUUAACUUCUGCUAGUAUUGACCUGCCAUCAGCAAUAACUAUCCCGGCAUCAUCAUCUUUGAUAAACAGAACCCCAAUUGGAGACUGUUGCCCGAGUUACGAAUUUUUUUUCUCCUUUUCUUUGAAUUGUCCUCGUGUACAUCCAUGUGAGUGUGGGUGUAUUCACGAGGACGCCCUUUUUACCUAUUCCGCCUGCUGCUGGUGGAUUCAACUUUUUCUGCGGAUGGAUUGAGCAUUCGUGGUUACCUGGCUGUACUGUCCCAGGCUUAAAGCUACAUGAAUUAAGUGACUGCUAAUGAGUAUGGAAGGCCCUGUAAACCAGGUGCAUAACUGAAGAAAAAGUCAUUGAAGAAUACCCCAUCAAUGCCAAUUUUGUUUGUCGACAAGCUGUGCCUGGAGAGUCAAGACCGAGCUCUUGCUUGCUAUUUCAUGUUCUGUAUGGCCUGCAUAACUGCCGAGAAUCUUGGGUGAACCAGAUGACUCAUCUGGUUAUUCAUUUGUUAAAAAUUUAGAUUGGGCAAGAAUGAAAGUUCAACUUUCAGCAGCAUAUAGAAAACAAGCCUGAACCUGAUGUGAACAUUCUGUGCCAGCCACAUCUACCCAUCUAAAUUGCCACAAUGUUUUAACUGUAAAAGCAAGAAUUCCAGAAAAGUAUUGGUCUGCUGUAAUGGAAGAUGUAGUUCCUUGCCAAGAUGGAAUUUUAAAAAAGCUUUAUCAAGAGCUAUUCAAUCUGAGGCAAAUGGCUCCCACAAUACAGUUGACAAGCAACAACCAGUCCUGUUUGGAAUUUGACGAAGAAGUUUGGUCGUCACUCGUCAAAGUUGAGAAAGAAGAAGACCGGAGCCUGAUAAGAACCUGUCUGCUGAUGCAAUUAAAACAAAGAUGGACAAUUAAUGGAAACUGAAGAAAUGUUAAAAGAUAGUGGCGUUCAACUGAUAGCGUUCAAUAUCUACAGCUACACCAACUGCAAACGGGACUUAUUCCAGAAAAAAUCUCCGAAACUCUGGGACUAUUGUGUCUCGCAUGUAUGUUGACCUACGCGUUAUAGUUCUGGUGGAGUCACUGUUAAGAAGGAAAGCUGUGGUACCUACAUUUAAUGUGUGCAUGGAAGGCCGACACAAGACUUCAUUCAGUCAACCAACAUGCGAGCAAUCCAGGUCUGGCACGAGUCACUUCCCCACAUCCGACUUAAACGACAGUCGGCAGUUGAACGUGAAGAACGAAAGAAGAUGGAUAAGGGAAGGGCUGUAAACUCGGAACAGGAGAUAUAUUGACAACGUACCAUACCUUCCCAUACACGGAAGGUCUAAACUCUAAAGCAUCACAUCUGGAAAGGCAAAGGAGGAGAAUUUCGUCCUUAAUGUUAAUGGAGUUGGCGCCAGUUGUUUACUCGCCUUUUGCGUCGUCUUUAUCUCAGGUAAUGCAGAUUAAUAGCUGGAACCUGACAAAUCGUCACUCACAGUCGAAAGAGCCUGGAAUCUCGGUACGAUAAAUGUGAUCCUUCUGGUGACGUCAAAUGCUACAAAAUCCCAGUAUCGGAUCCAUCUACGUUUUUGUAUUUGUGCGGGCGUGAGCAACCCUGGCCGUCGUGCACAUCCGGGUGCAUAUUCUAAAAAACAAACUACAUUUAGUGCUCGAUCUUCGCCUCAGCUGAUCCUGGAAACCGAAAAGUAACUGACAGUUGACGACAUGGAUCCGUGUUCUAUCAACCGCACAUUUUCGCGCACGUUAUUAUUCUUUCGAGUGUGGUGGUGGCAGUUGUUGCAUUCCCAGGUCUCCUCGUGGAAGAGGAGGUAGUUCAACAGCAUAUCGUAUCAUCCAACAUACCAAAGGUCUUCUCCAAAUCUGGAUACAAGAUGAAGAAAUUAGCCCUCACUGUCAGUUUGGAGUUUGAGCUAAUUUGCUGCAAGCCCUUUUUGUGACGUUUUCUAUGUCAAGCAAUGCAUGAUUGCAUGUUAAUAUCUGGACCUUGAGCAAUUGUCACUCACACUUGAGAUUUCUUAGAACAGGCCAGUGAAUUCUGAUCUUCUUUGUGUCAUUUCAAUGUGUUAUGUGCAAAUGGGUUUGUUGCAACCAGCCGGUGAUAGGUGUUCUUCUUGCUACCUGUACCAGCCGAAUGUUUCAUGUCAUACAAAAACACUUCUUGGAAUGAAUGACACACUUCAGAAAAUUAAAGAUUAACAGCUUGGUGAAUUCUGAGCUUCUUCGUUGCUGCCCGAUGUUCACAUGGAUUUGACAUAGACAUAGGUGGCAGGUUUAUGUUCCGUGCUGCCCGAUGUGGCAAGUUGUUGCAGCCUAUGCUGGUGAAAGAUCUGUCUUCAUCAAGUUCAACUGGUCGUUCCUUCGUGCUGGUGUCGUGUUACCGAAGUUGCAUCAUUAUUUUGUGGAAUUGUCAUCGUGACUGCAGUUUACCGUUUAUAAGUUAGGAAGUAACAAAAACAAAUAUGUGAUGUACGUCAAACAAAUAAUCAUGUUUUCGUGAUUGGGAAAGGAAAGUGGAUGGAGGGGGUCAAGUUUGGAAAAAAAUCAGUUAAUCUAUAACCCUACAAGCAUAUUCCUACCAAUUAAUCUCCAAACCCCACAAACUUAUACCUUCAAAUUCAUCUAACCUCACAAACAAACUCCUACCAACCCUCAAAUUUAUACCUUAAGCCCCAUAAACCAAUAUUAACCUAAAAUUAAAAAAAAAUAAAUACAU